GCCUUCGUGGUGUAGUGGUCAGCACGCUUGACGCUUAACUGAGAGGUCUGUGGUUCGAUUCCCGGCGAAGACG
rfam:Stegodyphus mimosarum contig67911, whole genome shotgun sequence.